CGGGGAGAGGCGGAGGGAAGAGGGGGAAAUCCCUUUUAGUUUUGCGAUUAGGCUGCCAGGCUUUGUAAAGGGCUUAAAAACAAAGUCAUGCUCAGUCUUUUGUAGGAGAGAUCCAGAUGUUAUGUAGAUUUCUGUUUGCAUGUUCGUUUUGAGCGGAUCCGGCGGUGAGCGCAGUAUUUAGCGUGUGUGUGCUGCUGGACUUUACCGUUUAUCGACGUUGCGCUUGUGGAAUGUAUGCUGGAGUAUUAGCUCGGUAAUGCCUUCUAAUGGUAGUGCUAAUUACAGUGGGGUUAUUUAGCAAAUUAAGUGAGAUGAUGCACCCCCCCCCACCCCCCACCCCUGAGUACCAAAUGAACUUUUCCGAACACACGGGCACACACACACACACACAACACACACACACGCGUUAAUUUUGGUGCGUUUCUCUCGCCCAAUCACUUCGCUGAAGCUACACCAUGCCUUACCUCAGAGCAGUCAAUUACCAAAGCUACCCGGGAUCAUCAAUCAUGGGGGAUGCUUGAAGUUUAGGGGAGGAGCGAUGGUCAAACUAUCGAUUGCUGCAGUUUUGUCCUCCCCAACCCCCCACCCUCGUUCACGGUCCCCUGCACAUAAAAUCUAAAACAGACUAUCCCGUUAAUAGUGGAAUUUAUCAAUGAUUAUGUACCCGGUUGUGAAUGUAGCCUCAUACGUAGAUGGCUUUUGAAAAUACACGGCAGAAAAUAUAUUAUUCCGUUAGAUUUUGGUUUGGUGUGCUUUUCGUGGUGAUGACGAUGCUUUUCAGAGAGGGAAAAGCCCCAACUGUGGACGAAACACGAGCGGUGCGGGGUCGCUGUGCCGCGGCGCCCCCGUUUCCCCGCUGGCUGCCCGGGCGGCGGGGCUGCAGCCGGCGCUCCAUCAGCAGCCCUCUAGCGCUAUCUGGCGGGGCUCCAAGCCCAGCGGAGCCGAGCCGGCCGCGGGGCUCGCUCGGCGGCCGCAGGGCCCUCGGCCCCGGCUCAGCGGCUCCCGCGGGACGCUGCUGUGGCCAGGCCCGCCUUCCAUCCCUAAGGGGCGAAACCCGCCCCGGGAAGGAGCAUAGACAUGAACCCCUUCGCGUCUGUCCACACGCGGGUGGGUCUGAAGCACUAAAGUAAGAGAAGAGAUAUUUUUUUUUAUUUAUUUUUUAAAUGUUUUUUUUUUAAGAUUCUAUUUUAUUUAAGCUGGAAUGUUCAUAAAAGUAGGGACCAUAAACAGUCAACAAGUGUAUUUCCAUCACACACCAGAGGAGAAAAAAAAAAAAAAAGGAAGAAAACAACCACAAACCUGUCACGGCUUCCCACUAACACUGCUUGCACUGGGUAGUUAAAAAUCUAGUUUGUAAUUGUUUGAAGAAGCCCGAAGCAUGAAAAAAAAAAAAAAAAUCAAUCUUUCCAGAACGACAUGGAAACCAAAGGGACAGUUAGGGCAAACUAAUGGCUUUAGUGUGAUACCAGAGAAUCUGCAAAGGCUUCAAACUCUGCUCAGAGCUCUGCUCCAGCUCACUCAAAAUAUCCCCUUUUGUUCUCCAGCUGCCUAUAAAACUCCAGAAGAGGAGCGCUCUCAUUUUUACACUGGAGUUCUCGGUCCGGAGAGAACAAUAUACUCCUACCUCUUUUGAAAUGAUCCGGAGACUCUCACAACACACAAGCAAUCACUCGAAGCACGAAAUUCCCUUUUUUUUUUUUUUUUUUCCAAGGAACUGCUCGGCCCAUUGUUUGAAGUGGGAUUCAGCGCACAGCCCAAAGAGAAAAGGAAAAAAAAAAAAAUCUUGAGAGCCCCAUUUGGUAUUGCACAGAGAGAGAGCUGACAAAAUAUUAUAGCGUGUUUCCUAGAAGUACGUGGUGAGAGCCGGCGGUGUGUUCCCGAAAAGAGGUUGCUUUUUAUUUCCACCCCCACCCCCCCCAAGAUUGUGAUCGUCUUUGUAUGUGUUUCUUUUGAUCCCACAAAGAGAAUGCAAUAUACAUAUACGUGUUUGCUCUCCAUACAAGAAAUGCCAUACAAUGGAAUAUGCGGCCGGUUAGUCCUCAUAAUGCUUAGUUUUGCUGUAAUUAAUUGAAAACAGUUAUUAGGUCGUCAUUGGCAAUAGCGUAAAUAAUUGCAGCAGAUUUUUACUUA
rnacentral:lncRNA from 1 species